AUGCCAGGAGGAACGAAGCAUGGCCCUGGGGAGGAUGAAGGGAAAGUUUUCAUAUGCUACCUGAGAACUUGUUUUGACAGGCGUUCCCACACUUGUGCUGUAACAACUGCUGGAACCAGUGGCAUGAAUGAUGCUGGACACAAGAUAUGUCCUGAAAAGAGGACUUCUUUUGGAGAGACACGAAGACACACUGGCAUGCCUGAAAGAAAUGAUUAA
rnacentral:lncRNA from 1 species